GCUUUUUUUGAGGAGGAGGAAAAGUAAAGUAUCAGUCAGACUGCAGAAUGCUCCUUAUGCUAUGAAGUUGUGCAUCUCCAUAUGUAAGAUUUGGAAGUCCCUGGAUGUGCCUGACCAGAUUUGGAGACACUGCUGAUCGCUGUCUACUCUACACUCCUUGAAAGCCACUACACCUGCCUGAAAUGCUAAGUGAUCAGAUUCUCUCAUCUCAUGCACAGAAAAAUCUGUGGCAGCCCUUGAAGGAAACGUAUUUGCAUCUACUUCAACCGAUGGAUGAGGAGUGUGCAGGACAGAGAGAGAUAUGUCCAGGAGGAAUUAAUAAUCCCAACUACUUUCUUCACUGCAUUUGUAAAAUGGCUUUAGAAGAAAGUUUCUUAGUUACUCUGGGAUAUUUUUCUGUGC